AUUGCUCCGCCAAACCUGUGUGUCGGCUGUGCGGGAAUGUCUGUUCUUAUCAGUUUAAUAUCUGAUACGUCCUCGAUGAGAGGACUUUAUAUUAAACGGAUUUUUGGACGUGGGAGUUGGAUCCGGAGCUUGCUCCCUCCGCUCCGCGCAUCGUCCCGGUAUUGCAGUGCCUCCGGGAACGGUGCACCCCCU
rnacentral:snRNA from 1 species